UUUAUGGAGAGUUUGAUCCUGGCUCAGGAUGAACGCUGGCGGCGUGCCUAAUACAUGCAAGUCGAGCGAACGGAUGAGAAGCUUGCUUCUCUGAUGUUAGCGGCGGACGGGUGAGUAACACGUGGAUAACCUACCUAUAAGACUGGGAUAACUUCGGGAAACCGGAGCUAAUACCGGAUAAUAUUUUGAACCGCAUGGUUCAAAAGUGAAAGACGGUCUU
rnacentral:rRNA from 1 species